rnacentral:rRNA from 1 species
GAGUUUGAUCAUGGCUCAGAUUGAACGCUGGCGGCAGGCUUAACACAUGCAAGUCGAACGAUGAUUACUAGCUUGCUAGUAUGAUUAGUGGCGAACGGGUGAGUAAUGCUUAGGAAUCUGCCUAUUAGUGGGGGACAACAUUCCGAAAGGAAUGCUAAUACCGCAUACGUCCUACGGGAGAAAGCAGGGGAUCGCAAGACCUUGCGCUAAUAGAUGAGCCUAAGUCGGAUUAGCUAGUUGGUGGGGUAAAGGCCUACCAAGGCGACGAUCUGUAGCUGGUCUGAGAGGAUGAUCAGCCACACUGGGACUGAGACACGGCCCAGACUCCUACGGGAGGCAGCAGUGGGGAAUAUUGGACAAUGGGCGAAAGCCUGAUCCAGCCAUGCCGCGUGUGUGAAGAAGGCCUUUUGGUUGUAAAGCACUUUAAGUGGGGAGGAAAAGCUAAUAAUUAAUACCUAU